AUUUGACCCAAAUAAACUCAGCUAAAAAAAUUACGUCACAGGGUUUUCUCCAACCUGUCAAUUUCGGCGUGAUUUGUUGUGAUUUAAUCGAAAUUAGGUUCUGUUUGGAUUCUGGAUGGAAUUUGAAACCAUGUACAGAGAAAAUAUGUGAGAUGAUGUAAAGUGUCAAAUAAAUUGACACUAUUUCUAAAGAUGAAUUUUACUUGUAGAUGCAGGACAUAGCAAUUUUCAGGUGACUACAGACGUGUCAUCACCUUUCUACAAGAUCAGAAAUGAAAGUGCUUCAUCCCCCGAUUUGC